GACAGAGGGUGCAAGCGUUGUUCGGAAUUAUUGGGCGUAAAGGGCGCGUAGGCGGCGACGAAAGUCGGAUGUGAAAUCCCUGGGCUUAACCAAGGAAGUGCAUCCGAAACUGCUGAGCUUGAGUACUUAAGAGGAUCGCGGAAUUCCCGGUGUAGAGGUGAAAUUCGUAGAUAUCGGGAGGAACACCAGUGGCGAAGGCGGCGAUCUGGGAAGAUACUGACGCUGAGGUGCGAAAGCGUGGGGAGCAAACAGG
rnacentral:rRNA from 1 species